CCCCUAGAUGUUCUGGGCCGCACGCGCGCUACACUGAACAGUUCAACAAGUCUUAACCUUGGCCGAUAGGUCUGGGUAAUCUUUGACCGCUGUUCGUGAUUGGGAUAGACCUUUGCAAUUAUGGGUCUUCAACGAGGAAUUCCUAGUAAACGCAAGUCAUCAGCUUGCAUUGAUUACGUCCCUGCCCUUUGUACACACCGCCCGUCGCACCUACCGAUUGAAUGGUCCGGUGAAAUCUCGGGACGGCGGCUUGGUCGCUUGCGUCCGACUGCUGAAACUUGAUUAAACCAUAUCAUUUAGAGGAAGGUGAAGUCGUAACA
rnacentral:rRNA from 1 species